UACGGAGGAUCCAAGCGUUAUCCGGAUUUAUUGGGUUUAAAGGGUGCGCAGGCGGAUUUUUAAGUCAGCGGUCAAAUCGUGGGGCUCAACCCCAUCCAGCCGUUGAAACUGGGGAUCUAGAGUGUGCGAGAGGUAUGCGGAAUGCGUGGUGUAGCGGUGAAAUGCAUAGAUAUCACGCAGAACCCCGAUUGCGAAGGCAGCAUACCGGUGCACAACUGACGCUCAGGCACGAAAGCGUGGGUAUCGAACAGG
rnacentral:rRNA from 1 species